ensembl:miRNA
CCUCUUCCAGCCCCACGUUGGGCGCCACUCUGCUGUGCCCAGCGCUGCAGGGCAAUAGGGAAGC